rnacentral:lncRNA from 10 species
CUACCCUCGGCGGAGAGCGAAGGCUCGCACCGGCCGUGGCAUCCAAUCCCUGUCCUGCCAGCUAUAGCCGGGCGGGGAGGAGGGAGCGGUUCCGGGUUCAGAAAGAGAAAAUCUCCAUCUAAGGCGAAGGGGUAGAAGGGAGGUCGAGGGAAGGCAAUAAAGUCACUUGUUUAAUCUCCUCUAUGCUGUAAAAUCCCCGAAGGCAGAAAUCACAUAGUCCUAAGUGUAUGGCACACAGAAGACGCUCAAUAAAUGGCUGAUUGGCAACUGGCCAUCGGACCCUGCUCGGAUGCAGCGCCAGUCCCGCCGCCCUACGCAGC